rnacentral:rRNA from 1 species
GAUGAACGCUGGCGGCGUGCCUAAUACAUGCCAGUCGAGCGAACAGACGAGGAGCUUGCUCCUUCGACGUUAGCGGCGGACGGGUGAGUAACACGUAGGUAACCUACCUAUAAGACUGGGAUAACUUCGGGAAACCGGAGCUAAUACCGGAUAAUAUUUCGAACCGCAUGGUUCGAUAGUGAAAGAUGGCUUUGCUAUCACUUAUAGAUGGACCUGCGCCGUAUUAGCUAGUUGGUAAGGUAACGGCUUACCAAGGCAACGAUACGUAGCCGACCUGAGAGGGUGAUCGGCCACACUGGAACUGAGACACGGUCCAGACUCCUACGGGAGGCAGCAGUAGGGAAUCUUCCGCAAUGGGCGAAAGCCUGACGGAGCAACGCCGCGUGAGUGAUGAAGGUCUUCGGAUCGUAAAACUCUGUUAUUAGGGAAGAACAAACGUGUAAGUAACUGUGCACGUCUGGACGGUACCUAAUCAGAAAGCCACGGCUAACUACGU